AAGACAAAGAGGGGUCAAAGCCUGAAAGAGACAAAGCAGACUGCAGAGAAGUUUAUAAGGAAACGGCAAGCCUUAGCAAAGGCAAUCAAAAUUGGCGGCACAAUCAUGAACGAAGAAAAGAAUGGAAGAAGACAUUAAAACCGAAACUAAAAAGUAGGGGCCAGUGGCUGAUUUUAAAAGUGAUUUGGUUUCCAAAAUAAAAGGACAAUUAAAAAAUUCAUUGAAUAAAAAUGGAAACCCAGAACUGCCUCGUCAAUUCCAUUAACAACAAUAAAAUCUUAUUCUUGCCUUUUUCACUAACCUUUCCUUCGUCGUUCUUCUAUAUAUCGCGGCCACCGAUCUGUUUCUUUUCUCACGCUGCAAAACACCGUCUUGAUUCUCUGCACAGGUUUGUUAGCGUUUGAUGCUAACAUGGAUUCGUGGGCACUCAACUGUUUGGAAGGGAACUUGACAAACGCUCAAAGCAGAGGGUUGAAUCUAGACAUAGAUCUUAACUAUCCACUCCCUCCUCAAAUGAGUGCUCUUGAUUUAUCUCUUGGUUUAUCCAGUUAUACUCAUUCUCAACAAGUUCAAGUUCAAGCUCAAGCUCAAGCUCAUGGACAUCAAACUACAAAUGUUGUUGAGGUCCUGGAUGAUGAAGUUACUAUAAUCUCCCCAAGGGCAUUUGCUGAAGCCAGGCAAAAUUCUGAAAGAAACAGUCCUCAUGGAAUUCUCAGGGGAUGCGCUGGGCAAAAAGGGCCAAUUGCUAUAUGAGGGAACAUGAAUGGCAGCAAACCUGCUUCUAGCCAUUAAAAUUUUGUUUCAAUGAUGCCACCACUUUAUGCAAUAAUUGCAAAAGAAGAAUUCCAGAUGACAGCCAGCCUUGCUUGAAACCAGGAACAAGUAACAGGAAGAAGGCAAAGAAUGUGUCCACGGUUCAAGAAUCGUCCCAGUCUGUUCCGGUGCCUGAAGAAUCUAUCUUCAGUUGCCCUAUAUGCAUAGGCCCUUUAAUUGAACCAACAUCAACAAAGUGUGGUCACAUAUUCUGCAAGGAAUGCCUCCUCAGAUCGCUAAAAUCAUUACGCAGCAAAUGCCCAACCUGCAGGCAGAAGGUCGGAAAGCGAUCCAUCUUUAGGGUUUACCUUCCUACCACAAUUGAAUGAAUUUAUGAUUGGUGAAACUAGGCGACAAAUUAGCCAGGCUGACUGAUAAAAAUCUUCAAUUGGGUUGAUGACUGUCUAGGGAGGGACAAUGAGAACAACUUUUGAUUUUGGGGGGUGGGGGAAAGAAUAACUAACCUUAUUGACUGGCUGAUUUAAGAUGAUGUACUCAAUUUUGAUUUGUUUAUUAUUAUUAUUAUUAUUAUUUUGUAUAUAAUGCAAUCAAUUGGUUUACUCCUUUGUAGUUGAAUAUGUUGGUUCUAAUAAUUGGUUAACUUGUA